ensembl:lncRNA
AGGGGGGGGGGAAACGGGGGGUGUUGGUUUAUUUAUGGCGCUUUGUUCUGCGGCGCUGCUGUUGGGGAUGCGGUGGUGCAGGGAGAGACUUCAGCUUGGAGGGGAGGGUUUGGGGGUGGGGAUGUCCGAAAUGCUGGGGGUGAGCGGCUCCUGGGGGGGGUUCCACGUGGGAUAACAGCAAAAGCAAAGGGCCGGGCCGGGCUGGGCCAGCAGUGAGGCCAAAACGCACCGCUGUGCGCCCCGAAAUCCGCUGCUGGGUGUGCAAAGCGUUGGCGGUGCGUCUUUGCAGAGGGGCAGCUCCCACCACGGCCGUCCAAUUCCGCCUCUUUGGCAGUGGAUUCCCCGGGGUGCACUGCAUCUGUGCGCAGCCACGCCGUGUGUGCGUUGCACAGAGACACCGGCCCUUGGCGUGCUGCUGUGUGUGCAAGGGCGGGCGGUGACGUGCAAUGGUCUGCAAGGACGUGCAAAGGUGUGCAAGGGUGUGUGAUUUGCAAGGAGGUGAGAAGGUAUGCAAGGAUGUGUGAGGGCAGACAACGGUGUGCAGUGGUGUGCAAAGGUGAGCAGGGGUUUGCAAGGAUGUGCAAAGGUGUGCAAGGAUGUGCAAAGGUGUGCAAGGGUGUGUGAUUUGCAAGGAGGUGCAAAGGUGUGCAAGGAUGUGUGAGGGCAGACAAUGGUGUGCAAUGGUGUGCAAAGGUGAGUAGGGGUUUGCAAGGAUGUGCAAAGGUGUGCAAGGGUGUGUGAUGUGCAAGGAGGUGAAAGGGUGUGCAAGGAUGUGUGAGGGCAGACAACGGUGUGCAGUGGUGUGCAAAGGAGAGUAGGGGUUUGCAAGGACAUGCAAAGGUGUGCAAGGAUGUGCAAAGGUGUGCAAGGGUGUGUGAUUUGCAAGGAGGUGCAAAGGUGUGCAAGGAUGUGUGAGGGCAGACAAUGGUGUGCAAUGGUGUGCAAAGGUGAGUAGGGGUUUGUGCAAGGAUGUGAAAAGGUGUGCAAGGAUGGGUGAGGGCAGACAGCAGUGUGUAAUGGUGUGCAAAGGUGAGUAAGGAUAUGGGAUGCAGGAUAUGGGAUGUCGGAUAUGGAGUUCAGGAUAUGGGAUGCAGGAUAUGGGAUGCAGAAU